GGGGGUAUAGCUCAGUAGGUAGAGCGCAUCCAUGGUAAGGAUGAGGUCAUCGGUUCGAUUCCGGUAAAAGGCACCA
rnacentral:tRNA from 1 species